rnacentral:tRNA from 1 species
GGAGGUGUAGCUCAGUGGUAGAGUGCCCGCUUAGCCUGCACAAGGUCCUGGGUUCAAUCCCUAGCACCUCCG